UUCAUAUGAUGUUAUCAAUAUUCUAUAUUUGCUACUUCAGAGGGGCUAUCUACCCCAAUGAGACUUUUCAAUAUCACCAAGAUCUCUGAUGUA
rnacentral:snoRNA from 1 species